rfam:Alteromonas sp. RW2A1 genome.
GUAUAUUUCUUAUUAAAACACACAUAUACCGACACUUGUUAUCGGGGUGUCCACACUAUCGUUUUUCGCUAGGGUGGAUCGAUACAAGGGGUAUAUGGAGGCCUAAC